GAUGAACGCUAGCGGCAGGCUUAAUACAUGCAAGUCGUGGGGCAGCAUGUCCCGUAGCAAUACGGGAUGAUGGCGACCGGCAAACGGGUGCGGAACACGUACACAACCUUCCUUUAAGUGGGGAAUAGCCCAGAGAAAUUUGGAUUAAUACCCCGUAACAUAGUGAAAAGGCAUCUUUUUACUCUCAUAGCAGUAAUGCGCUUGAUGAUGGGUGUGCGGCUGAUUAGGUAGUUGGCGGGGUAACGGCCCACCAAGCCUGCGAUCAGUAACUGGUGUGAGAGCACGACCAGUCACACGGGCACUGAGACACGGGCCCGACUCCUACGGGAGGCAGCAGUAAGGAAUAUUGGUCAAUGGACGCAAGUCUGAACCAGCCAUGCCGCGUGGAGGAUGAAGGUCCUCUGGAUUGUAAACUUCUUUUAUAUGGGACGAAAAAAGGUCUUUCUAGAUCAACUGACGGUACCAUAUGAAUAAGCACCGGCUAACUCCGUGCCAGCCGCCGCCGUAACAC
rnacentral:rRNA from 1 species